CGUAGGGGGCAAGCGUUGUCCGGAAUCAUUGGGCGUAAAGCGCGUGUAGGCGGCUCGGUAAGUCUGCUGUGAAAGUCCAGGGCUCAACCCUGGGAUGCCGGUGGAUACUGUCGAGCUCGAGUCCGGAAGAGGCGAGUGGAAUUCCUGGUGUAGCGGUGAAAUGCGCAGAUAUCAGGAGGAACACCAAUGGCGAAGGCAGCUCGCUGGGACGUGACUGACGCUGAGACGCGAAAGCGUGGGGAGCAAACAGGAUUAGAUACCCUGGUAGUCCACGCCGUAAACGAUGGGCACUAGGUGUGGGGGGUGUCGACUCCCUCCGUGCCGAAGCUAACGCAUUAAGUGCCCCGCCUGGGGAGUACGGCCGCAAGGCUAA
rnacentral:rRNA from 1 species